rnacentral:rRNA from 1 species
AGUGAACGCUGGCGGCAGGCCUAAUACAUGCAAGUCGAACGGCAGCACAGCAGAGCUUGCUCUGUGGGUGGCGAGUGGCGGACGGGUGAGGAAUACAUGGGAAUCUGCCCAGUCGUGGGGGAUAACGUAUGGAAACGUACGCUAAUACCGCAUGCGCCCUACGGGGGAAAGUCGGGGACCGCAAGGCCUGACGCGAUUGGAUGAGCCCAUGUUCGAUUAGCUAGUUGGCGGGGUAAAGGCCCACCAAGGCGACGAUCGAUAGCUGGUCUGAGAGGAUGAUCAGCCACACUGGAACUGAGACACGGUCCAGACUCCUACGGGAGGCAGCAGUAGGGAAUAUUGGACAAUGGGGGCAACCCUGAUCCAGCCAUGCCGCGUGAGUGAAGAAGGCCCUCGGGUUGUAAAGCUCUUUUGUCCGGAAGAAAGCAAUCGGUUAAUACCCGGUUGUUCUGACGGUACCGGAAGAAUAAGCACCGGCUAACUUCGUGCCAGCA